AAAAAUCGCCUUGGUAAACCCUAACAUGGGUUCAGUUCUCACUUCUCAGUUCUCACUAACCGCCUUCAUCUCCUUCAUCGCCAUCAUCGCCUUCAUCUGCUGAGAAAUGGAAAUCGCCAUUUCUCAACGGAUUUGCAAGUUCGUUCAUCUACAAAUUCGUUUUCCUUUGCAGUUUGUAUUAUCCUCCCUCUAUUUCUCUAUCUAUCUUCUUUCGGUUCUUCAAUAUUCUGGGUACAACUUUGUGUAAUUGGGAUUUACGUUUCUAUUUGGCUGAAUUGGCGGCUCAAGGAAUAUGGAUAGGUUUGCUUUGUUAUUAAGGGACGAUGGAAAUGGAUGUGUACCAUUGGUGUGACAUCCGAUUCAUUGUGUUAAUCUCUGAGGAUUUAAGAUUCUAGCAUUCUUGCUCAAUCAAUUUGGAGGCAAAGUACCUGGCUCAAUUCCCGAGAUUAAGAAUUUUGUGUGUACAAGAUUCAAAGCUGAGUACCCCAUUUUUUAGAGUGAUACGUUAGUGAAAUCACCAACUUAGUGAAAUCACCAACUUAGAGAACCAUACUUUCCUAUUUACUAACACCAUGGCCGCUACUGCUACUGACUGCAACAACUGGACAUGAAUGGUCCAAAUACAGACAUAGUUUACAGUUCCUCAAGUUCAGUGCUGGGGGGUUUUUGGUGACUUGGUCAACUGGAAUUAUGAGAAGUUUUUGGUGGACAAAAAGGGCAAGGUUGUAGAGUGAUACACACCUACAACAUCUCUCUCGGGAUUAAGGUCUGUGAUGCGGAAAU